rnacentral:lncRNA from 10 species
ACUCCCUGACGCCCACCCCUGCCCUGGCUGGAAAAUCUGAAGUUGAUGGAGGAGAAGCAAAGAACAUGGAAAGCAGAAUUCCUGGGGGUGGCCUCAACCCCAAGCCCUGCCGAUGCAAACCGGCACCUUGAAGAUGCCUUUGGAAUUUAACUGGAAGAUUUGAAUGACAUGGGCAGACACAGAAGAGGGAGAAGCAUUCCACAGGGGAGGAAAGGCCUCAGUGGGGACCUAUGGAGCUCCCAGGCCCACCGCAGGGAGGCAGGUCCUCGGUCAUCUGCGGAGGGAGAACACUUUCAGUCGAAGGAGCCUGGGACCCUUGACACAGAAGUGACAUGUGCAUUCGGAACCUCUCUGUGGAAAACACAGACCCUUCAUGACACGCAAACUCGAAGCCGAUGCAAUAACCACCUUCGGAGACCAGACCCCUCAAAGAGCACUCAGCCCACAAUGUGACGCAGAGAAACCAGAGACCCAGGCAGGGAGUGCACCCACGGGGACACUCCGAGGGUGGCCUCCUGCCUGCCCU